rnacentral:misc_RNA from 1 species
GCUGGGGCGGCGGGUGGA